rnacentral:rRNA from 1 species
UACGAAGGGGGCUAGCGUUGUUCGGAAUUACUGGGCGUAAAGCGCACGUAGGCGGAUUUGUAAGUCAGGGGUGAAAUCCUGGAGCUCAACUCCAGAACUGCCUUUGAUACUGGAGAGCUUGAAUCCGGGAGAGGGAUGUGGAAUUCCAGGUGUAGCGGUGAAAUGCGUAGAUAUCGGGAGGAACACCAGUGGCGAAGGCGGCUCACUGGCCCGGUACUGACGCUGAGGUGCGAAAGCGUGGGGAGCGAACAGG